CCUACGGGAGGCAGCAGUGGGGAAUAUUGCACAAUGGGGGAAACCCUGAUGCAGCGACGCCGCGUGAGUGAAGAAGUAUUUCGGUAUGUAAAGCUCUAUCAGCAGGGAAGAAAAUGACGGUACCUGAUUAAGAAGCCCCGGCUAACUACGUGCCAGCAGCCGCGGUAAUACGUAGGGGGCAAGCGUUAUCCGGAUUUACUGGGUGUAAAGGGAGCGUAGACGGCAGCACAAGUCUGGUGUGAAAUGCCGGGGCUUAACCCCGGAACUGCUUUGGAAACUGUGCAGCUUGAGUGCAGGAGAGGGAGGUGGAAUUCCUGGUGUAGCGGUGAAAUGCGUAGAGAUUAGGAGGAACACCAGUGGCGAAGGCGGCCUACUGGACUGUAACUGACGUUGAGGCUCGAAAGCGUGGGGAGCAAACAGGAUUAGAUACCCUAGUAGUC
rnacentral:rRNA from 1 species